GUGUUCUAUCAAAAGAAAGAAGGUUAGCACUCCCCUUGAUAUGGAUGGAAGAGGUCCUGGGUGCUUCCAUCCUUCCCAUUUACCCCACCAAUGCCACUGUGCAAGCAGGUCCUUUUU